rnacentral:rRNA from 1 species
UACGUAGGGGGCAAGCGUUGUCCGGAAUCAUUGGGCGUAAAGAGCGUGUAGGCGGUCCGAUAAGUCCGCUCUGAAAGUCCGGGGCUCAACCCCGGGAGGCGGGCGGAUACUGUCGGGCUAGAGUCCGGAAGAGGCAAGUGGAAUUCCUGGUGUAGCGGUGAAAUGCGUAGAGAUCGGGAGGAACACCAGUGGCGAAGGCGGCGACCUGGACAGGUACUGACACUCAACUACGAAAGCGUGGGGAGCAAACAGG